GCAGAAGCUGCUGAUGGAGAACUCUGUAGGGACAGGAGGGCGGGCGGGAGAGGCCCGAUCAGGGAGCAGAUACGGAUAGAGAAAGUGGCAGGAAAUUAAAGCGAGAAACCCUGGGCCGAGAGACAGCGGCUCUGUGCUGCAGAGCUUUAAGAAGCCGGCACACAUUUCCGACCUCCACGGCGCCUCGACCCCAAGGCAGGCUGCACUCUCCAAGCUCUUGGCUGCGCUGGACCUCAUGAGGCAAAUAAAUUACUCCCCUGCCUCCUGCA